rnacentral:rRNA from 1 species
AGUGAACGCUGGCGGUAGGCCUAACACAUGCAAGUCGAACGGCAGCACAGUAAGAGCUUGCUCUUACGGGUGGCGAGUGGCGGACGGGUGAGGAAUACAUCGGAAUCUACUUUUUCGUGGGGGAUAACGUAGGGAAACUUACGCUAAUACCGCAUACGACCUACGGGUGAAAGCAGGGGAUCUUCGGACCUUGCGCGAUUGAAUGAGCCGAUGUCGGGUUAGCUAGUUGGCGGGGUAAAGGCCCACCAAGGCGACGAUCCGUAGCUGGUCUGAGAGAAUGAUCGGCCACACUGGAACUGAGACACGGUCCAGACUCCUACGGGAGGCAGCAGUGGGGAAUAUUGGACAAAGGGCGCAAGCCUGAUCCAGCCAUACCGCGUGGGUGAAGGAGGCCUUCGGGUUGUAAAGCCCUUUUGUUGGGAAAGAAAAGCAGCAGGUUAAUACCCCGCUGUUCUGACGGUACCCAAAGAAUAAGCACCGGCUAACUUCGUG